GACCUUUGAUGGGAGCCCGGUACCUACUUGGUGCUGGUUCGAGUUAGUGCCAGCGCCCGGGAUGGGGCCGCGGGUGUGGGUGUCGCCAUGGAUUCGAAGGAUUUGAACAUCUGUGACCACUCCAAAAUUCCUGUUGGAAAUGGCCCCCAGUGCAGCAGUACGAACUCAUCCAGGAGAUGACUAGGCCAUGAGAGCUCUGCUCUUUGAACAGUCAAUUUCUGCAUCGCUGUGACCAAAACACCUGACAAGAACAACUUUGAGGAGGAAAAGUUUGCACAGGCUGCACGGUCUCAGAAGUGCAGCCCACAGAUGGCCACUCCAUUCCUCUGGG